AGCGACUGAUCUCCCUGGCACUGGGAAGAAGAGAAAAAAGCCUCCUACUCCAGUAGCUGCACCAUCGCAGCUGCAAGUUUUUUCUGAUUAGUGGGGCAAAGCCACUUGGCGCUUUGAUGCUUCCUUCAGCAGUGCACGUGGCCAACGGCACCACAUCUGAGACCUGAUGGGGGUUCCUCUGUGCGCCGGGACUGGAGGCGUUCUGCCUUGAGAUACACAAGCUGCUGGCUCCAGGAGUGAACACAGCAAAUGUAUUCCUACAGCAGAAUCUGUAUCAGAACUGUAACUUGAAAAUCCAGCUGUUGCCUCCAGCAGCCGGGAGCACCUGCAGCGCCCAGAGGAAGGUGACAGUCCUGUCCCAGCAGGCAGUGCCAGAAGGUGCCCGUCACAGAGCUCACUGCCUGACGUUGUGGCAAGCUGCUUCAGGACACAGAGGAUACAUUUUCUUCCGGUAAAGUCCCCCAGGGACUGCACCACAUACAUUUGAACACACCCCACACAUGGAACUUGUGGCGUGCACAUGUAUUUCGACACAACCAUUGAAAAUGUGCCCAAAGCUUAUAAAAUAAUU